CUGACAAUGGAGAGGCUGGCGGCAUUGAGGGCGUCGAUCCCUGCCAUCCCAGUGGCCACCGAUUUUGAUAUUGUGGAGACUGUGAGGCAAGAAGAAGAGGAGGAUAACUUUUUAGAUACUUUUGCAGAGGAAGAGGAGGAAGAGGGCUGCACAUAUGAUUACUGCCACUGCCAAGCACCACUUUUGAGGCUGCAGAAAGCUGUGAAAGAGAGGGAUGAGGCCCUGACCAAGAAAAGUGAGACCAUCCAAUCCAUUAGAGAGGACAACCUGAAGCUGAUCUCUAAGCUGCAUAGAGUGAGGAAGAGGUACCAGCUACUGAAAAGGCAGAUGGGGAUUCUCAGGGUGAGUCCGGCAAAGGAGAGGUCGGCAAAGAGGUCCCUCAGCUUUCAGGCCGAGGCAGACACAGCCCAAGAGGAGCUGCAGCUGGACCAAGUGACAGGUUCAGGGGACCAGACAGAGGAGGCUACAGCGUCCGGAUCUGGCAGCAAACUUAUCUUCCCGGGCUCUGCCAUUAGUGUGUUUCUUGAGGGAUUCAGGAAGACCUGUGAGGGCCCCAAUCCAAAUUAUAAGCUAAGGGAAAAUUGUGCCGGAAAGAUCAAAAGGGUAACGCAAUUUUUGAACUACAUGGCGAAGGAUGAGACCUACCAAUCCAAUCUCAUUUUCCUGACUAACCAUGACAAAAUAAGGGGGUGAAAGACAGCAAGGAAGCCAAGGUGGUUUACAGAAAGACCCUGCUGGAGUGCCAGUCUCUUGCCAAGGCCAAGAUCCCAGAAGUGCUGAAAACCUUGGAAGAAACAAGGACACAGAAAAAUCAGUACCAGUUUAAUGGAGACCUGUGGGCCUACUUUCCCUCCAUAUAUGGCCAUAGACCGGGCCUGGAUAAGAACAUGUUGGUGGAGGAGGUGGAGGAGGCUAAAUGUGAC